rnacentral:rRNA from 1 species
AGUGGCGGACGGGUGAGUAACGCGUGAGAAUCUGCCUUGGGGUCGGGGACAACCACUGGAAACGGUGGCUAAUACCGGAUACGCCUUCGGGUAAAAGAUUUAUUGCCCUAAGAGGAGCUCGCGUCUGAUUAGCUAGUUGGUGAGGUAAGAGCUCACCAAGGCAGCGAUCAGUAGCUGGUCUGAGAGGACGAUCAGCCACACUGGGACUGAGACACGGCCCAGACUCCUACGGGAGGCAGCAGUGGGGAAUUUUCCGCAAUGGGCGAAAGCCUGACGGAGCAAGACCGCGUGAGGGAGGAAGUCUCUUGGGUUGUAAACCUCUUUUCUCAGGGAAGAAGCUCUGACGGUACCUGAGGAAUCAGCCUCGGCUAACUCCGUGCCAGCAGCCGCGGUAAUACGGAGGAGGCAAGCGUUAUCCGGAAUUAUUGGGCGUAAAGCGUCCGCAGGUGGCGAUUCAAGUCUGCUGUCAAAGCACGGGGCUUAACUCCGUAAAGGCAGUGGAAACUGAAUAGCUAGAGUGCCGUAGGGGUAGAGGGAAUUCCCGGUGUAGCGGUGAAAUGCGUAGAGAUCGGGAAGAACAUCGGUGGCGAAAGCGCUCUACUGGACGGCAACUGACACUCAGGGACGAAAGCUAGGGGAGCGAAUGGGAUUAGAUACCCC